UAGCUCAGUUGGUGGAGCGCUCCACUGGAAGUGGAGAGGUCCCGGGUUCGAUACCCGG
rnacentral:tRNA from 1 species